CCACCUCCCAUCCGUGUCUAUUGUACCCUGUUGCUUCGGCGGGCCCGCCGCUUGUCGGCCGCCGGGGGGGCGCCUCUGCCCCCCGGGCCCGUGCCCGCCGGAGACCCCAACACGAACACUGUCUGAAAGCGUGCAGUCUGAGUUGAUUGAAUGCAAUCAGUUAAAACUUUCAACAAUGGAUCUCUUGGUUCCGGCAUCGAUGAAGAACGCAGCGAAAUGCGAUAACUAAUGUGAAUUGCAGAAUUCAGUGAAUCAUCGAGUCUUUGAACGCACAUUGCGCCCCCUGGUAUUCCGGGGGGCAUGCCUGUCCGAGCGUCAUUGCUGCCCUCAAGCCCGGCUUGUGUGUUGGGUCGCCGUCCCCCUCUCCGGGGGGACGGGCCCGAAAGGCAGCGGCGGCACCGCGUCCGAUCCUCGAGCGUAUGGGGCUUUGUCACAUGCUCUGUAGGAUUGGCCGGCGCCUGCCGACGUUUUCCAACCAUUCUUUCCAGGUUGACCUCGGAUCAGGUAGGGAUACCCGCUGAACUUAAGCAUAUCAAUA
rnacentral:rRNA from 1 species